rnacentral:pre_miRNA from 1 species
CAUGCACUGGUGGGGUCCCUCGGCCUGGCAUGCACCCUUUUGGAAUCUGGGACCCCUCGGGGAAUGUCGGAGCCGGUUUCAGCCUGAUCCCCACAGGCCAGGCCGAGGGACCCCACCAGUGCACG